GACGAACGCUGGCGGCGUGCUUAACACAUGCAAGUCGAACGGAAAGGCCCUGCUUUUGUGGGGUGCUCGAGUGGCGAACGGGUGAGUAACACGUGAGUAACCUGCCCUUGACUUUGGGAUAACUUCAGGAAACUGGGGCUAAUACCGGAUAGGAGCUCUCGCUGCAGGGGGGGGGUUGGAAAGUUUCGGCGGUGGGGGAUGGACUCGCGGCUUAUCAGCUUGUUGGUGGGGUAGUGGCUUACCAGGGCUUCGACGGGUAGCCGGCAUGGGAGGGUGACCGGCCACAUUGGGCCUGCGAUACGGCCCAGACUCCUACGGGAGGCAGAAGUGGGAAAUAUUGCACAAUGGGCGGAAGCCUGAUGCAGCGACGCCGCGUGCGGAAUGACGGCCUUCGGGUUAUAAACCGCUUUCGCCUGUGACGAAGCGUGAGUGACGGUAAUGAGUAAAGAAGCACCGGCUAACUACGUG
rnacentral:rRNA from 1 species